UCAAACACUAGAAUUUUCAAAAAGCAAACUUAUCACACAAAAUAGAGCAAAGUUGAAUCAUGACAAUUUAGUUCAUUCAAGCAUAGCAUAAUAAUAAAAUAAAAUAAAAUAAAAUAGAACAAAAACAAAAAUUAAAACAAAAACUAAAAAAAAAUUAAAAGUAAAAGUUCAGAGAACUGGGUUGCCUCCCAGUAAGCGCUUCUUUAACGUCACUAGCUUGACCCAAUAAGUUCAUCAUCAUAGCAUCCAUCCGUAGAUGCUGUUAGUAACAUCCAUCAGUAGAUGUCUAAUCACAUAGCAUCCCUCAAUAUAUGGUAAUUUUUCUUGCCUCCAUUGUUAUCCCUCAGUAGACACCAAUCUUUCUCAUCUUCAUUGGCGUCCAUCAGUAGAUGCCUAAUGACCUAAUAUCCAUCAAUAGAUGUCUAGACACCAUUCUCUUUCAUAGCAGCAUCCAUCAGUAGAUGCUCUCUCAAACUCUUCCAGCAUCCAUCAGUAGAUGUAAAUCUUUCUCAUCAACAUCCUUCAGUAGAUGUUAAUCUUACUGUUCUUCAUCAGCAUCCAUCAGUAGACGUUAUCAGUACUGCCAUCAGAAGCAGCGCAUAACCUAAAAAAAAACUCAAACACAAAAUCAAAUCCAAA
rnacentral:lncRNA from 1 species